CCCCAGGAGGGGGGGCUCUCACCUGCUUCUUGCUACAGCCCGACUGCACCAAGAUGGCGAGGUCGCCGACCUCGUGCGGGACCUCGUGGAGGAGCACCGUCAACGCCGUCACCGUCCCCACGGCCGGGCCGGCCACGAAGGACGCCCCGAUGGCCAGACCGUCCGUCACGUUGUGAGCCACGUCGGCCGCCAGGUUCAGGUAGCCAGAAACCUGCAUGGCUGCGGGGUGGGGGGGACAGCGGGGUCCACAGUGGUGGCCGGAAUGGAGGCCCCAAUGGUGACCCCAAUACUGGUCCUGAUGGUGGCCCCGAUGGUGGCCCCAAUAGUGGUCCUGAUGGUGGCCCCGAUGGUGUUCCUAAUAGUGGUCCUGAUGGUGGCCCCAAUAGUGGUCCUGAUGGUGGCCCCAAUAGUGGUCCCGAUGGUGGCCCCAAUGGCGGCCCCAGUGGUGACCCCGAUGGUGGCCUGAUAGUGACCUCAACGGUGUUCCCAAUAAUGGUCCUGAUGGUGGCCCCAAUGGCGACCCCAAUAGGAGUCUUAAUGGUGGCCCCAAUGGUGGCCCCAAUGGUGAUCCUAAUGGUGGCCCGACAAUGACCUCAAUGCUGUUCCCAAUAGUGUUCCUGAUGGUGGCCCCAAUGGUGACCCCAAAGUUGUCCCAAUGGUGGCCCCAAUAGGGGUCUCAAUGGUGGCCCCAAUGGUGACCCCGAUGGUGGCCCGAUAGUGACCCCAAUGGUGGCCCCAAUGGUGCUCCUGAUGGUGGCCCCCAUGGUGGUCCCAAUGGUGGCUCCAAUAGUAGCCCCAGUGGUGACCCCAAUGGUGGCCCAAAUGGUGACCCCGAUGGUGGCCCAAUAGUGACCUCAAUGCUGUUCCCAAUAGUGGUCCCGAUGGUGGCCCCAGUGGUGACCCCAG
rnacentral:lncRNA from 1 species